rnacentral:sRNA from 1 species
UGAUUGAUAGAUCUCUGAGUACGCCAGGUUGUAUUUGACACCCGCCCACGCAAAAUUUUGUUGGCUUGGCCUCCUCGGCUCUUCAGCUCCCAGGCACGAUCUUCUCUCCUUGAAUAUUGGUGGGCCUGGUCCAUUCGCCAUUGCCUGAGAGAAUUCACGACAAUAAAAUCGCCUCAUUAAAAGCAUCUUGACUUGAUGAACGGUUAGAACCUACUGCUCGUUGUCCUGUUCGGUGUAGUCCUUCUUUGAUAUUCUGCACAGUCGUCAAUCAUAUUCCUUUUUCGAUCUACUUCCCCGCCUUUUUCAUCUGCGCCCGCCAUGUAUCCAACCAAGUCAAUGAAUGGUCUUACAGCUGACAGCUGCUGGCCUACCAGACAGCGGUUAUGAUAAUCGGAAAGCAUUUAUCGAUAUGAUAUCAGGAUAUCUAUCUGCUAUUCUUCAUAGUUGUUAAGAAAGGAAGCAACAGGGAAAGGACAACAAAACCCUUAUCAAGUAGUAAACGCCAUAGAUAUCUGGGACACUUGAUUUUGCUUGCUUGCUUGCUUGCUUGCUUCGUUUAACCCACAUUUCAGCUUGCAUUUUUGUGAGCCAUUCAUUUUCUCUGCAUAGGCAGUAUGCGGCUGAAAAUGUUGCGCUAUUGCCAAAUUAUACUACGAUGUUUUGAAGCUUUCCCGUAGUAUAUAAUCAUUAUGUUUGCCUCCGCAUGACCAUUCCACGAUUUCCACGUAAGGCUGUUGUUGUCUCCCGUUUCAAGGGUUGCGAAGGGGUAUGCCAAUGCUUCUAGAGAGAAUAUACCCA